rnacentral:rRNA from 1 species
ACUGCCUGAUGGAGGGGGAUAACUACUGGAAACGGUGGCUAAUACCGCAUAAUGUCGCAAGACCAAAGAGGGGGACCUUCGGGCCUCUUGCCAUCAGAUGUGCCCAGAUGGGAUUAGCUUGUUGGUGAGGUAACGGCUCACCAAGGCGACGAUCCCUAGCUGGUCUGAGAGGAUGACCAGCCACACUGGAACUGAGACACGGUCCAGACUCCUACGGGAGGCAGCAGUGGGGAAUAUUGCACAAUGGGCGCAAGCCUGAUGCAGCCAUGCCGCGUGUAUGAAGAAGGCCUUCGGGUUGUAAAGUACUUUCAGCGGGGAGGAAGGUGUUGUGGUUAAUAACCACAGCAAUUGACGUUACCCGCAGAAGAAGCACCGGCUAACUCCGUGCCAGCAGCCGCGGUAAUACGGAGGGUGCAAGCGUUAAUCGGAAUUACUGGGCGUAAAGCGCACGCAGGCGGUCUGUCAAGUCGGAUGUGAAAUCCCCGGGCUCAACCUGGGAACUGCAUUCGAAACUGGCAGGCUUGAGUCUUGUAGAGGGGGGUAGAAUUCCAGGUGUAGCGGUGAAAUGCGUAGAGAUCUGGAGGAAUACCGGUGGCGAAGGCGGCCCCCUGGACAAAGACUGACGCUCAGGUGCGAAAGCGUGGGGAGCAAACAGGAUUAGAUACCCUGGUAGUCCACGCCGUAAACGAUGUCUACUUGGAGGUUGUGCCCUUGAGGCGUGGCUUCCGGAGCUAACGCGUUAAGUAGACCGCCUGGGGAGUACGGCCGCAAGGUUAAAACUCAAAUGAAUUGACGGGGGCCCGCACAAGCGGUGGAGCAUGUGGUUUAAUUCGAUGCAACGCGAAGAACCUUACCUGGUCUUGACAUCCACGGAAGUUUUCAGAGAUGAGAAUGUGCCUUCGGGAACCGUGAGACAGGUGCUGCAUGGCUGUCGUCAGCUCGUGUUGUGAAAUGUUGGGUUAAGUCCCGCAACGAGCGCAACCCUUAUCCUUUGUUGCCAGCGAUUAGGUCGGGAACUCAAAGGAGACUGCCAGUGAUAAACUGGAGGAAGGUGGGGAUGACGUCAAGUCAUCAUGGCCCUUACGACCAGGGCUACACACGUGCUACAAUGGCGCAUACAAAGAGAAGCGACCUCGCGAGAGCAAGCGGACCUCAUAAAGUGCGUCGUAGUCCGGAUUGGAGUCUGCAACUCGACUCCAUGAAGUCGGAAUCGCUAGUAAUCGUGGAUCAGAAUGCCACGGUGAAUACGUUCCCGGGCCUUGUACACACCGCCCGUCACACCAUGGGAGUGGGUUGCAAAAGAAGUAGGUAGCUUAACCUUCGGGAGGGCGCUUACCACUUUGUGAUUCAUGACUGGGGUGAAGUCGUAACAAGGUAACCGUAGGGGAACCUGCGGUUGGAUCACCUCCUUACCUUAAAGAAGC